UGAAUACGAGACACUAAGGUGUUGAAGUAGUGUAUGUCAUACUUCCAAGAAAAGCUUGCACUGUCAUAAAUAAGAAAUGCCUGUACCAUAACCGACACAGGUGGGUAGGUAGAGUAUACUAAGGGGCGCGAGAUAACUCUCUCUAAGGAACUCGGCAAAAUAACUCCGUAACUUCGGGAGAAGGAGUGCCUUAUUUAUAAGGUUGCAAUAACAAGAUCCAAGCAACUGUUUAUCAAAAACACAGGUCUCCGCUAAGUCGUAAGACGAUGUAUGGGGGCUGACGCCUGCCCAGUGCCAGAAGGUUAAAGAAGUUGGUUAGCAAUAGCGAAGCUGGUAACUGAAGCCCUGGUGAACGGCGGCCGUAACAAUAACGGUCCUAAGGUAGCGAAAUUCCUUGUCGGGUAAGUUCCGACCCGCACGAAAGGCGUAAUGAUUUGGAUACUGUCUCGGAGAGGGGCUCGGUGAAAUAGACUUGUCUGUGAAGAUGCGGACUACCUGCACCAGGACAGAAAGACCCUAUGAAGCUUUACUGUAACUUGAAAUUGAAAUUGGACUUUAUUCGCGCAGCAUAGGUGGGAGGCGUUGAUUAUAAUCUCGCGGGAUUAUUGGAGCCAUCAGUGAGAUACCACUCUUGUAAUGUUAGAUUUCUAACUUUGAAUCAUUAUCUGGUCAAAGGACAGUUUCAGGCGGGCAGUUUGACUGGGGCGGUCGCCUCCUAAACGGUAACGGAGGCGUACAAAGGUUUCCUCUGAACGGUUAGAAAUCGUAUCUAGAGUGUAAAGGCAUAAGGAAGCUUGACUGUGAGACCUACAAGUCGAGCAGGGACGAGAGUCGGUCUUAGUGAUCUGACGGUACUGAGUGGAAAGGCCGUCACUCAACGGAUAAAAGUUACUCUAGGAUAACAGGCUGAUCUCCCCCAAGAGUUCACAUCGACGGGGAGGUUUGGCACCUCGAUGUCGGCUCAUCGCAUCCUGGGGCGGUAGUACGUCCCAAGGGUUGGGCUGUUCGCCCAUGAAAGCGGUACGCGAGCUGGGUUCAGAACGUCGUGAGACAGUUCGGUCCAUAUCCGGUGUAGGCGUUAGAAUAUUGAGAGGAGCCUUCUUUAGUACGAGAGGACCGAGAAGGACAUACCUCUGGUGUACCAGUUAUCGUGCCAACGGUAAACGCUGGGUAGCUAUGUAUGGAGUGGAUAACCGCUGAAAGCAUCUAAGUGGGAAGCCCACCUCAAGAUAAGUAUUCUCAUC
rnacentral:rRNA from 1 species